rnacentral:rRNA from 1 species
UACAGAGGUGGCGAGCGUUAUUCGGAAUUAUUGGGCGUAAAGAGCUCGUAGGCGGCUUGUCGCGUCGUUCGUGAAAACCUGCAGCUCAACUGCAGGCUUGCGGUCGAUACGGGCAGGCUGGAGUUCGGUAGGGGAGACUGGAAUUCCUGGUGUAGCGGUGAAAUGCGCAGAUAUCAGGAAGAACACCCGUGGCGAAAGCGGCUCUCUGGAACGGUACUGACGCUGAGACGCGAAAGCGUGGGGAGCGAACAGG